GGCGUGGUAGCAAAGUGGUUACUGCGAUUGACUAGAACUCGUUCAGAUCAUUCUGACAGCACCUUGACUAUCAAUUCCCUUCGGGGGCGCAGGUUCGAAUCCUGCCCACGUCG
rnacentral:tRNA from 1 species